CUGGCGGUGCGCCUUAUGCAUGCAAGUCGAGCGAAGCUUUUCAGUAGUUUACUACAGAAAAUGACUGAGCGGCGAACGGGUGAGUAACGCGUGAGCAAUCUACCUUAGUUACUGGGAUAGCCCGAGGAAACUCGGAUUAAUACCGGAUAAUCUUAUUACAUCACAUGAUAUUUUAAGUAAAGGUCAGCCGAACUAAGAUGAGCUCGCGUUCUAUCAGCUUGUUGGUGGGGUAAAAGCCUACCAAGGCUACGACGGAUAGCUGGUCUGAGAGGACGAUCAGCCACACUGGGACUGAGACACGGCCCAGACUCCUACGGGAGGCUGCAGCAGGGAAUAUUGCGCAAUGAGCGAAAGCUUGACGCAGCGACACCGCGUGUGGGAUGACGGUUCUAGGAUUGUAAACCACUUUCAGGAGGGAAGAAAAUGACGGUACCUCCACAAGAAGCCCCGGCCAACUACGUGCCAGCAGCCGCGGUAAUACGUAGGGGGCGAGCGUUGUCCGGAUUUAUUGGGCGUAAAGAGCUCGUAGGCGGUUCAACAAGUCGGUCGUGAAAGUUCAGGGCUUAACCCUGAAAUGUCGAUCGAUACUGUUGUGACUAGGAUAUGGUAGAGGUGAGUGGAAUUCCGAGUGUAGCGGUGAAAUGCGUAGAUAUUCGGAGGAACACCAAUAGCGAAGGCAGCUCACUGGGCCACUAUCGACGCUGAGGAGCGAAAGCUAGGGGAGCAAACAGGAUUAGAUACCCUGGUAGUCCUAGCUGUAAACGAUGGAUACUAGAUGUAGGAGUUGGAUUGACGAUUUCUGUAUCGUAGCUAACGCGUUAAGUAUCCCGCC
rnacentral:rRNA from 1 species